GGGACCUUCGGGCCUUGCGCUAUCAGAUGAGCCUAGGUCGGAUUAGCUAGUUGGUGAGGUAAUGGCUCACCAAGGCGGACGAUCCGUAACUGGUCUGAGAGGAUGAUCAGUCACACUGGAACUGAGACACGGUCCAGACUCCUACGGGAGGCAGCAGUGGGGAAUAUUGGACAAUGGGCGAAAGCCUGAUCCAGCCAUGCCGCGUGUGUGAAGAAGGUCUUCGGAUUGUAAAGCACUUUAAGUUGGGAGGAAGGGCAUGUAACAUAAUACUUUAGUGUUUUGACGUUACCGACAGAAUAAGCAC
rnacentral:rRNA from 1 species